GAUGAACGCUGGCGGCGUGCCUAAUACAUGCAAGUCGAGCGAACAGACGAGGAGCUUGCUCCUCUGACGUUAGCGGCGGACGGGUGAGUAACACGUGGAUAACCUACCUAUAAGACUGGGAUAACUUCGGGAAACCGGAGCUAAUACCGGAUAAUAUAUUGAACCGCAUGGUUCAAUAGUGAAAGACGGUUUUGCUGUCACUUAUAGAUGGAUCCGCGCCGCAUUAGCUAGUUGGUAAGGUAACGGCUUACCAAGGCAACGAUGCGUAGCCGACCUGAGAGGGGGAUCGGCCACACUGGAACUGAGAAACGGUCCAGACUCCUAAGGGAGGCAGCAGUAGGGAAUCUUCCGCAAUGGGCGAAAGCCUGACGGAGCAACGCCGCGUGAGUGAUGAAGGGCUUCGGAUCGUAAAACUCUGUUAUUAGGGAAGAACAAAUGUGUAAGUAACUAUGCACGUCUUGACGGUACCUAAUCAGAAAGCCAAGGCUAACUACGUG
rnacentral:rRNA from 1 species